rnacentral:ncRNA from 2 species
CGACGUUCUCAGGGCGGGGUGAAAUUCCCCACCGGCGGUAAUUGCCUUUGUGCAUCAGCCCGCGAGCGCCUUGAUCGAAGGGAUUUCCCGGAAGAUCAAGGGUCAGCAGAUCCGGUGUGACUCCGGAGCCGACGGUUAGAGUCCGGAUGGAAGAGAACAGCG